rnacentral:lncRNA from 1 species
CCUUAAUGGUGUAGGUAUAUUGGGCUCCGGAUCUGAUCUAAUCAAAUCUGACUCAGGUUCAGCUAUUGGUGUCGGUCCUUCUACCUGUUGAACUUCAUCAAGUUCAACCUUAGAGGCAACGGUUCCUUCACCAAGGAACUCCUUUUCUAAAAAGGUUGCCUUAAGGCUGACAAACAUCUUUUGUUCAUCAGCAUGGUAGAAAAAAUAUCUUUUGAUCUCUUUGGGGUACCCUAUGAAUGUACAUUUGUCAGACCUAGGUCCAAGUUUAUCUGUAACGAACCAUUUAACAUAGGUCGGGCACCCCC